CCUGGAAAUGAGGGACUCCGUGAGGAAGAGGACGCCAAAGGACGGUCGACCGCUAACGAAGACAAAAGGAGUCAAACUCUUCCGAUCACCGCUGGAACCUGCCGCGUCAGAAUCGAAGAUUUACCUUCUUCCCUGUAUUAAUACCGCCAUUAAAAGAUGGCGCUCUUCCUGCUUCUUCUUCAUUCAUUUUUCCCGUGCCCGCGAAAAGACUACCUGACUGCGCAGGCGCAACAUGACGUCCGACCGGAGAAACCGAAGCCUAUCUGGCCACACCUUCCACAAUGAGGUCAUUUCUGCCUUAGCCCAACCCCUUCCCCUCCAAAUGUAUAUAAGGCAUUGCAUUACGCCAUUAAACGAGACUUUAUCAGA